CCGCGGCUUCAAGACCCAAGUCGACCUACUUUAUUUUCUUGCCUUUGACUUAUAAUUUUUGGUGUAUGACGACCUAUAAAUGAUUUAACAAUAAGGGUAUUCCACCUCGGUGUCUGCUUCAUUUAUACUUAGGUUAUUUUUGAAUGUGUUACUUUCUUUGCUUUACCGAGCUACUAAGUCCUUUGAGACUUAAUUUGAUUCAAGUUGUAAUUACUUAACUCAUCUUCACUUUCUAACUUGCGAGCUUCUUCUACCUUACGUUAACAUAAAAAGCCUUAAGCUGUAUGCUUACUUA
rnacentral:lncRNA from 1 species